rnacentral:rRNA from 1 species
GAUGAACGCUGGCGGCGUGCCUAAUACAUGCCAGUCGAGCGAACAGACGAGGAGCUUGCUCCUCUGACGUUAGCGGCGGACGGGUGAGUAACACGUGGAUAACCUACCUAUAAGACUGGGAUAACUUCGGGAAACCGGAGCUAAUACCGGAUAAUAUAUUGAACCGCAUGGUUCAAUAGUGAAAGGCGGUUUUGCUGUCACUUAUAGAUGGAUCCGCGCCGCAUUAGCUAGUUGGUAAGGUAACGGCUUACCAAGGCAACGAUGCGUAGCCGACCUGAGAGGGUGAUCGGCCACACUGGAACUGAGACACGGUCCAGACUCCUACGGGAGGCAGCAGUAGGGAAUCUUCCGCAAUGGGCGAAAGCCUGACGGGGCAACGCCGCGUGAGUGAUGAAGGUCUUCGGAUCGUAAAACUCUGUUAUUAGGGAAGAACAAAUGUGUAAGUAACUAUGCACGUCUUGACGGUACCUAAUCAGAAAGCCACGGCUAACUACGUG